rnacentral:rRNA from 1 species
CAGUCGCCGCGGUAAUACGAAGGGGGCUAGCGUUGUUCGGAUUUACUGGGCGUAAAGGGCACGUAGACGGGCGAAUAAGUCAGGGGUGAAAUCCCAAGGCUCAACCUUGGAACUGCCUUUGAUACUGUUUGUCUUGAGUUCGAGAGAGGUAAGUGGAACUGCGAGUGUAGAGGUGAAAUUCGUAGAUAUUCGCAAGAACACCAGUGGCGAAGGCGGCUUACUGGCUCGAAACUGACGCUGAGGCGCGAAAGCGUGGGGAGCAAACAGGAUUAGAGACCCCCGUAGUCCCUGUCUCAUAUAC